GCCUGCUUAGCUCAGUGGUAGAGCGCGUCACUAGUAUGUUCUCACGGAACAUGACGAGGCCGCCAGUUCAAUUCUGGUAGCAGGCA